UUAAGUGAAUUAGAAAAAUCUUUUGUUAAUUCUGUGACACUUAAAAGUUACUAAGGCACUCAGUUUACUACAGGCAGUUUGUAAUCACAGUUUCUCGGAGGCGAAGGGCCAGAUUAGCAGCGGAAUAAUAGGUCAGCCCAGCUUGUUUAGCUCAGAAAAGUUUUUGUAAGUAGCCAAAUUAUCUGAACAUAUCCCGUCCUCCGCAAAAUAAACGGAUCAGGUCAUAAACCGGUAAUGGUAGAUGUUUAUUUGUGUAAAUGCUGCGUGACUUUGACGUGUUUUAAUGGGCGCGCGCGUUUUAAACAUUCAAACACUGGAGGAGUUACCAUGGUAACGGGCGGCACAGCAGUAACGGACAAGCUGCAAAAUCUCCGUCUCUCGCUGUUGUUUUCUCUGCUUUCGGGUGAGUUUAGUCCCCAAAAUCACAUAAAUAAUAUAAAACUGUUCUGGAUACGUUUCUUACCUGUAAUUGACACGCUUCUGUCGAAUAUUUACUUUAUUGAAAUAGUUUAUUUUCUUCGAAAAAGUCCGUUAGCAUAACCGUUUUCAGAACUGUUUGGCUAAUAUACUGAGCUCUUAUGAAAGUUUGCGUUUUUAAUCACAUCUUUAUGUUCAGAAGAGAGGCUUUGAUAGUUUUGUUAAGGUUUUGUUGGUAAUCUGUCAAUGGGUAAUUGGAAGUGAGCUAAUUUAUUUAAACUGCUGUACUGACAUCCCUUACAGGAAGCGCGAAAAUCAAAUGAAACGAAAUGAAAUGAUCUUUCAUGGAGUGAACAAAUCUACAACACCGGAGGGGGAAGAGCUGCUGACAGGAGUAACUUUUACCUAAGGAAACUCAGAUGAGAUGUGAUCCCCAGCGUUUGGCGCUGAGAUUCUUCAGGACAAAGGCCUUGAUGCCAUGAAGAUGCCCAUAACUGACAGGCUUUCCUGUGUAAACCAUCAUAUUUAUCCAAAUGAGGGUCUCUGGGAUCCCCAGCUGAAGGCAUGAAGACAUCAGAUCUUGGCCUGGACAGAUGUACCAACAGUACACCACACCGACCUCUGCUUUUGCAUGGAUGGCUGAUUACUACCAUGUUCUGAGAGGGUAUUACUAUAGCAAAACUGAGCACCUGUGACAGUGGGAUUUCUAGUUGUAAAGAAUAAUCACACAAUGUUUUUUAGAAGUUGCAAACUUUUCUCUCUCUUACAAACACAACAGUUAAACCUUUUCAAAUUCUUUUCUGGUGGUGCACAAGUCCUAUUCUUCAAAACAGAAAUUAAGAUAUUCAUAUGCUCACAUUUAAGCUGUGGACACACGACUUUGAGCGUGCAAAAUUUCUUCAGACACUGUAACUGGCGUGAUAUGACGUCUGCAGAGUCUUUUUAUAAACAUGAAUUAACAAAUAGUAUAUUCAAAAUAUAAAAAUAUACAGUCUACUCGACUUUACUACAUUUUUUUUUUUUUUAAAUUUAGCCAAGAGGUCACACGUUCAUGUAGCGAUUUUGUACUCUUUACACAUAGUCGUGUGAUGUGAAUUCGCAGGUCCGAGUUCCAAACCAAACUUUUUGCAUGAGCUUGCGUUUCUGGUCUCAUGCAUUUGUGUGCAUAUGAAUGGAGGUCAAUGGAAUGAAAAGCGUAGUGUGACCGCACCUUUAUUCUGCAGUUGCGGCACACCUGUAUCAAAAGUGUGAAGUCAUGGAAAGAUUUUAUUUGUGAACUGAUAUGCGAGAUCUCACAUAGGACACAUCAGUAUGUGACAUACCGCUCAAACACGUGCUCUAUCCAGUGAUAAACAUGUUCUUGUUGUUAUUAAUCAAUCAGUAAUCAACACAGCACCACCCCGAAAUUGCCUUGCACUGUAGAAUUAUGGUUUUGGCAAGAAAUGAAAAAUAGCCAAUUAUUUAUUAUAAAUGCUACUAUUUUACAAUUAAUAUUUAAGACUAUGUUAGAGAGGGAUAGAAGUCAUUUUUAUGGAUGAUAGGAUUUUUUCAUUACAGGUCAUUUAUUUGAAUGAUCAGCAAAAAUUUAAGCCUAUGAGUUUAAUAAUUUGAAUUCGUAGAAUAAGAUUAGUACAAAUUUAACUGUUGUGUUUGUGAGAGAGAAAAGAAAACUACAAGUUUGCAAAUCCUAAUACAUUUUCUCAGUGACUACUGAAAUAUUCUCUACAAAUUCCACUGUCACAGGUGCUCAGUUUUGCUACAAUAAUACUAUAUAUUAUACAGAACAUGGAUAAUUUGAGACAAUAUUCUGAUUCUCAUUUUACCAAUGACAAACCACAUCUAUCUUAUUAACAACUAUUCAUUUUGUGUAUAAUCAAUAUCUAAACAAGUGAUAUUUAGUUGUUAACGAGGGAUUGGCUGGACUCUGCUGACCCAAUCAGUAUUUCUCGUCCAAUGGUCAUACUUUAAUUUUCCGGUUUCUCUAGUAUUGCAUCCUUCUCAUGGGCAUUUCAUGACUUUUCAGUGUGGGUUAAACCUCUUUUUUGGCCCAUAAUAUGUAUUUUUUUAAAAAGUAAUUAAAAAUAGUUUUGUCUAUGCUAUUGAAAUUGUGGGUUACAUCUUUGUCACCUUUUUCACCCAAGGAGUUUACAUUCCUGAUAAUACAAGCGCGAGGAACUUACAUUUUAAUUACAAAGGAAAACCAAUUAAUCUGCUAUAUUCUUCUGUCCUCCAUUUUCAUGGGUAAGAUUUCUUUAUAAACCAUCACCCAUGUCUUUAUUUUUGUGGAACACAAAAAGAGAGAGUCACUUAGUCUCAGUCACCAUUAGAAAAGAAACUGAUAGUGAAUUGUGACUGAGGCUGUCAGUCUCUUGAUGUUCUGCCUUACAUCUCCUUUAGUGCUCCAAUAAAAAUAACAUGUUUGGUACAAAAGAACAUGACCAGAUUUGUUCAUAAGUAAAUAUUGCUUUUAAUUUUUUAACUUGAGACUGUUUAGCCUGUAAUUUUCUGUAUACCUCUGCGUGUAUCUGAAUGUAAAUGCCUUCUCUGUUAGUCAUAUUGACGGGUUGUAUUUAGGAGGAUGUAUGCCUUAAACAUGCAGGCUAUCUGUAACUGUAUUUUGUAAAUAUUAAAACAAUGUUAAUUGAAUGUGAUGUGUGAUUAUUACAUAAACAUGCUCAUUUAUCUAUUAGUAUUAAGUAUUUGAGAUUUUAAAAAACGAAAAUGUGUUAACUGUGUAAAACUUCAGCCCAACUGAAAUCAACAUCGUUUCAGCAUAAGGUAAGCAAACGAUCCGCGUCGAUUUCCCGUUAGUUUUGAAUGGCGUGUCUGACAUUGGUCUUUGAUGUCGUGAGAAACAUCGAUUCUAGGUUGAU